rnacentral:rRNA from 1 species
ACUAAAUAGAUACCCCGGUAGUCCACGCCCUAAACGAUGUCUACUAGUUGUUGGUGGAGUAAAAUCCAUGAGUAAACGCAGCUAAACGCGUGAAGUAGACCGCCUGGGGAGUACGGUCGCAAGAUUAAAACUCAAAGGAAUUGACGGGGGCCCGGCACAAGCGGUGGAUUAUGUGGAUUAAUUCGAUGCAACGCGAAAAACCUUACCUGGCCUUGACAUGCCACUAACGAAGCGGAGAUGCAUUAGGUGCCCGUAAGGGAAAGUGGACACAGGUGCUGCAUGGCUGUCGUCAGCUCGUGUCGUGAGAUGUUGGGUUAAGUCCCGCAACGAGCGCAACCCUUGCCAUUAAUUGCCAUCAUUUAGUUGGGCACUUUAAUGGGACUGCCGGUGACAAACCGGAGGAAGGUGGGGAUGACGUCAAGUCCUCAUGGCCCUUAUGGCCAGGGCUUCACACGUAAUACAAUGGUCGGUACAGAGA